GGUGUCGUGGCCGAGUGGUGAAGCCAAUAAACUAAAAAUCUUUUGGGAUCUUCCCGCGUAGGUUCGAAUGCUGGCGACAACG
rnacentral:tRNA from 1 species